UACUAUAAGAUGGCUGUCACCCC
rnacentral:piRNA from 1 species